UUUCGUUGCCGUUGAAGUGAAACUCGCCGUUUGGAUUGAUCACUUGAUCGCGGAGAAAUCCUGCUAUCGUCUCUUGGAUAGCUUUGAUUCGGUCUUGUUGUAGGACCUUUUCCCUCAGCCAUUCCGUCUUUAAUUUAAAAUAAAUAAAAAAAGGUAUUAGUUAUCUAAGUUAUUCAAUAUAAUUCAGGAGAUAAUGAAAAGAGACAUGUAACGUACUCUGAGCGUCUCUGUGGGUGUUUGAUUGACUUGUGCCAUCAUGAAUUUGCACACGUAAUAUGCACAU
rnacentral:lncRNA from 1 species